rnacentral:piRNA from 1 species
UGGUAAUGUGUAAGGGUCACCCAG